ensembl:antisense 1700003G13Rik RIKEN cDNA 1700003G13 gene
AAGUCACAGGGAACAAGGCAGAAUGAGGUUCAGUGGGGUGUGCCAAGUGUGUGUUGAUCAGCACCAAUGACAGCAUGAAACUGAUGUUCCAGGGACUAAGAUGAAGCAGUUGAAAUCACUGGAUCCCAGGCAGCUUCCAGCCAGCAGAGACAUUCUGUCUUCCCUACACUCGGGGCAGGUCUUGGCAGCGCCCUGCCUGACUCCAGCCUGUCCCUUCUCAUGCCUGGGAAAGCCCAGGAGACCGCGGCGCACUCACCCGGUGGCUGCCUCUGUCCAUGGUGUAAGAGAAUGCUUCUUCCAGGCUCAGCUGAUGUCGAGGAGGCAAAAGAAACAGAGGAAGAGACACGUGUCCUAAAGCAAAGUCGCUGCGCUCAGAAGUGUGGAAGCAGAAGAGUUAGGUGGACUUGGGAAUGCUCCCUUUGUGAUAAAGCCCCAGGGUGGCUGCAACUUCGCUGAGAUCCGUGGAUUCUGCGAUUGGGUCUGUGUUCCCCCAUGCAUGAAUCUGUACCCAGAUAAAAUUCUCUUUGCUUUUA